rnacentral:tRNA from 1 species
GUUGGGGCGGCUGAGGUAGGCGGUAAAUUGUAAAUUUUCUCACGAGAUUUCACUCUCUCCCAACA